rnacentral:rRNA from 1 species
UUAAGCGUGCUUGGGCGAGAGUAGUACUAUGAUGGGUGACCUCCUGGGAAGUCCUCGUGUUGCACCCCU